rnacentral:rRNA from 1 species
UACAGAGGGUGCAAGCGUUGUUCGGAAUCAUUGGGCGUAAAGCGCGUGUAGGCGGCCAUCCCAGUCUGGUGUGAAAGCCCGGGGCUUAACCCCGGAAGUGCACUGGAUACUAGGUGGCUAGAGGGUAUGAGGGGAGAUUGGAAUUCAUGGUGUAGGGGUGAAAUCCGUAGAUAUCAUGAGGAACAUCAGUGGCGAAGGCGAAUCUCUGGCAUAUUUCUGACGCUGAGACGCGAAAGCGUGGGGAGCAAACAGG